rnacentral:tRNA from 1 species
GCCCGUAGCUCAGUGGAUGAGGCAGCCCCCCCUCCUAAGGGGCAGGUCGGACGUUCGAUUCGUCUCCGGGGCGCCA